AUGGGGAAGGGAGCAUAACAUGGAUGUGGGGCAGGAGAGGCCGUGGUCGGAGCGGCAUUGCGUGGGCAUAUUGGGUAUUAUUUGAGCUGAUACUCCAUUUUCUUACAAGAGAUGUGGUCCCGUCGAUGUUGGCUGUCGAAUUUGUGCUGCAGUCCAUGCCCACCACAUCCGAGUCUUCGCCCCUUCAUCAUCCAA